CACUUCCCGCUGCCAGCGUUACUUUCUAAGCCGGCCAGCAGUGAGCUUCCACAUCCCAUUUUUCACUUCAUUCUCUGUUGAGUCUAAACUAUCUCCAAAAUGAGCUACAGAAGAUCCAUGCAGCAGAUGCCUUCUACCCACAUCUCCAUGACCCGCUCUACACCCCAGUUUGGUGCUGCCAGCAUUUAUGCUGGUGCUGGUGGACAUGGUGCUCGCAUCUCCUCUGUCUCCUCAUCUUCCCUGCGCUCUGGUGCCCCAAUGGCCUCUUCUUCAUCUUCCUUCAAGGUGAGCAGUGGAAUGGGUGGAGGUAUGGGAGCAGGUUUUGGUGGUGGUGGUGCAUCCAUGGCAGCUGGUGCCGGUGCUGGGAUCCUGGGCAAUGAGAAGGGCGCCAUGCAGAACCUCAACGAUCGCCUUGCCAACUACCUGGAUACAGUGAGGAACCUGGAAAAGGCCAACAGUGAGCUGGAGAUGAAGAUCAGGGAUGCGCUGGAGAAGGGUGGGCCCGAACUGAGAGACUACAGCAAGUAUGAACCCAUCAUUGACGACCUACGCAGAAAGAUCUUUGAUAAGAUUGCAGAGAAUGCUCGUUUUGUGCUCCAGAUCGACAAUGCCCGUCUUGCUGCUGACGACUUCAAAGUGAAGUUCGACAAUGAGAUCGCAAUCCGCCAGUCUGUGGAGGCUGACAUUGCUGGCCUGAAGAAAGUCAUCGAUGACACCAACAUGAGCAGGAUGAACAUCGAGAGUGAGAUCGAAGCUGUGAAGGAGGAGCUUGUCUUCCUGAAGAAGAACCAUGAGAAUGAGGUGAUGGAGCUGAGGAAUCAGAUCUCCCAGUCAGGCGUGCAAGUGGACGUGGACGCUCCCAAAGGUCAGGACCUGGCCCAGAUCAUGGAGGACGUGAGGUCUAACUAUGAGAAGAUGGCGGUGAAGAAUGCAGAGGACCUCAAACGAUGGCACGAAAAUCAGAUUUCAGAUGUACAGGUGCAGGUAUCCCAGAACACAGAAGCUCUCCAGGGGGCCCACAUGGAGAAGAGUGACCUAUCCAGACAGAUCCAGACCCUGGAAAUUGAACUUGCUUCACAACAGAGCUUAAAAGCCUCCUUAGAGGACACACUACGCAACACAGAGCUACGAAACAACAUGGAAACGGAGAAGUACAAUGGCCUUAUUAUUCGACUUGAGGAGGAGCUGUCCAACUUGCGUGCAAACAUCCAGCAACAGACCCAAGACUACGAGGCACUGCUCAACAUGAAGAUGAAACUGGAGGCAGAGAUUGGCACUUACAAGACUCUGCUGGAUGGUGGAGACUUCAAGUAAGAGUUAUAAAGAGGUGGAGGAGAAAAAACAGGUCGGGGCAAAGUGAUGAUGGUGGUGGAGGCUCCAGGACGCACUAGAUGAGCUGGCCGCCACAAGCUAAUUUGGAACAAAGGAUCUGGGACCAUACCAACAAUGGAAGCAAAGUAACCCGCAACUAUCAAUUUUGGGGGGGAAAAAAAUGUCCUGCUGGUCCAAUCAACUGAAGCCAUUUUUGAACCAAGACCACAUACUGUGUAAACCAUAAAUGAUUGAAGCACUUCUGAAUAAAGGCAUUCUUCCACACCACAGUGAAACUGGCAGGGCUUUUUCACAAGCAACCACUGCCUCACCUGCCAGAAAAAUAAAAACGAAUAAAAACCGCAUGUUGACCCAAAGUCAUGAGUCUUGUGCAU